CUCUAGGACAACGAACCGUCACUCUUUCAAUAAGAAUUCCUCACUCGGUUUAGUUUCUGUUUUAAAACAAAAGAUUUUUACGAACUUCAAUGGCAGCUUCGUUUUUUUUCCGUUUAGCGUUCUUUUUAUUUUUUAUAUUCCCUUCUUAUCGCUUCCUGUGAAGCUGGGUAUUUUUCUUUUAAAUUAAGAAGCAGUUGUUGGCCAGACGCAUUUUAAAUGUCUGUCUAGACGGAGGUUGUCGGAUACAAAUCAAGGAUGAAUUGCAUUUGACAGUUCAUGAAAACAAACCCUUUUACCUGUUCCGAAAAUAAUAGAACACAAAACACUUUCUAUUGCUGUAGAGAUUCGGGAAGAAAACAGCGACAAAAUAAAAGCAGUCACGGCGGUUGGUGAGCAAGGGGCGGAACAUAUAAUAAAACAAAUGGCCUUACAUAUUUUUAGUUAUGCAACCCAAGACUUAAAAUAAGUUGAACCAUUCAUAUUUGCUUAGAACGCACCAAAAUUACCUAUAUAUUUAUAUUAUAUAAGAAGAAAACAAUUCUGUUUAUAGACAUGUUUGGAAUUCUUGUAUUUCAAUAAAAGUUGCGUCAAUGGUUUUA